rnacentral:lncRNA from 1 species
GAUAGUAUCCUUCCCUAUCAGACUGAGACAAUGGAUUCUAGGAGAUUGGGGUUUCUCCAGGGAUCUUAGGCUGGGAGAAGGAUGACUCAAUGAAAUCUGGUCCUAGCUGGAGGGGAAAUCAGGUCCCUGAAAGAGAUUUCACACAGUUCUGACAACUUGUGAGAUCACUUGGUAGAAGGGACUGGAGCCAGGACAGCAAUGUGUCAGUGAUUGGCAGGACCACACCUUAGACCAGGACUGCUUACUUAUACAUACCUCUGGCUCCUAUUUAAACCUCAACGUCAUGUCGGGCCCUGUAGAUGAACUUGCUAUGAUAGAAGCAUCGUUGGGACUCUUUGUUCCUCUUCCUAGUGUGACCACAGUGAACAGACCUCCUUGUUGAAGUUGUUUGUUUAAUUGAUCUAUUGAGGAUGCGUGGCUGAGUGCAGCUUGUUAAGGCUGCCUGGGCCUGGAUUCUGACCCUAAAAACUGCAGCAGAAUUUGGGGUGACACUUUACAUUCAAACAUAACAAUGUCACUCUAUCUGACUUGGGCAUGGAUGGGCACAGCAUCGGCUGGCUUCCCCAGUAGAGCUCUAGAAUUUCUGGGGGUAGGGAGGGGGGACAGACCAGUGCACGGCUUAUACUAUUGAAGGUAUCUAAGUAGUCUCCCACUUACAGUUUCCCUCUUGCUCCUUGCAUGCCCCCUCUCAGUUUCUUCCUCUUGCUUUUAGCCAGUUUGGGGACAAUUGGGCACAGUUCCCUCAAUCCACUAUGCAGAUGUGUCACUGAAACUUUGACAAAUGUGGAGCUGGCUUGGAAUACAGCAGGUGACUCAGCUGGGGUACUGCUGCAGUAGGCACUGGUCUCACCCAUUCUAAAGACUGUGUUAGAAAGGAGCCUUGACCCUGGUUAGCUUUGGCAGGGGUGAAAGGUCGAGCAGGAGCUGAAGGUGACUAUGACACACCCCCCCUACAAUAAAGGUAAUGCUGGAUUUUACUUAGAAUCUUUUAUCAGGAGAACAGCAGUCCCUGAGGUGGGCAGAGGAAUGCUGGGAAGGAUUGUGGGUGGGGCAGGCUGGGUGGUGGCGGGGAUACUUUCAGGUACAGGAAAGCUGGUUUGAGGGUCUGUAGGAGUCUGUGGCCUGGAAGCAGAUGGAAAGAGGAUUGGGGGAGAGCAUUAGACAGUGUCCUUAUGGGUACCAGGGGAAGCCAUGAGAACACGAUUUAACUCCUUUGCACAGGAGGCCAGCCUGUCUCAGAUGAAUACCUUGUUCUUUCGGGGAGCAAAGAUGGAAGGCCUGGUGGACUUGAAUGUGUUGAUGAGGGACGGGGAGGCUCAUUCCAUGAGAAGGAAGAGUGAAGUGGUAAUUCAGGAAAAAGCAGAGACAGGGAGCCAUUCACAUGGAAAGAGACCACGAGGGCAAGGGACGCCUCUCACAGGUCCUGGUCUCUUGGACUUGAUUGCUCUUUCUAUACCUCAGUUCCAAGCCCUCUCACUUAA